rnacentral:rRNA from 1 species
GACGAACGCUGGCGGCGUGCCUAAUACAUGCAAGUAGAACGCAGUUGCGAACGGGUGAGUAACGCGUCGGUAAACGCCCCAUAGCGGGGGAUAACUAUUGGAAACGAUAGCUAAUACCGCAUACUGUGAGAUGGACCUGCGUUGUAUUAGCUCGUUGGUGCGGUAAAGGCUCACCAAGGCGACGAUACAUAGCCGACCUGAGAGGGUGAGCGGCCACACUGGGAACGGUGACCUGCCCUGAUUCCUACGGGAGGCAGCAGUAGGGAAUCGUCGGCCAUGGACGGAAGUCUGACCGAGCACAGCCGCGGGAGUUAAGGAGGUUUUCGGAUCGUAAAGCUCUGUUGUUAGAGAAGCGGUAACUGACCAGAAAGGGACGGCUAACUCCGUGCCAGCAGCCGCGGUAAUAC